rnacentral:rRNA from 1 species
GAUACUGGCUCGGGAUGAACGCUAGCGACAGGCUUAACACAUGCAAGUCGAGGGGCAGCGGGGUGUAGCAAUACACCGCCGGCGACCGGCGCACGGGUGAGUAACGCGUAUGCAACUUGCCUAUCAGAGGGGGAUAACCCGGCGAAAGUCGGACUAAUACCGCAUGAAGCAGGGAUCCCGCAUGGGAAUAUUUGCUAAAGAUUCAUCGCUGAUAGAUAGGCAUGCGUUCCAUUAGG